rnacentral:rRNA from 1 species
UACGUAGGGUGCAAGCGUUAAUCGGAAUUACUGGGCGUAAAGCGUGCGCAGGCGGUUGUGCAAGACAGAUGUGAAAUCCCCGGGCUUAACCUGGGAAUUGCAUUUGUGACAGCACGGCUAGAGUGUGUCAGAGGGGGGUAGAAUUCCACGUGUAGCAGUGAAAUGCGUAGAUAUGUGGAGGAAUACCGAUGGCGAAGGCAGCCCCCUGGGAUAACACUGACGCUCAUGCACGAAAGCGUGGGGAGCAAACAGG